rnacentral:lncRNA from 11 species
AUUGCAAUUAUUUGGGUACCGUUUACUACUUUGUCAGACUUUGAAAUUGAAGACCUUCUAACUGUCCAGACUCCAUUAGGUUAUAUACAUACACGCAGCGAGGCUUAGAGCUUGAAACGCUGGGCAGUCGCGCAGCCUUUAGCUUACUCUGACGUCCAUGUUCUUUCCUAAACAAGAAGCGAAUCUGCACAAGUGAUUAGGCAUAUUAGCGUUAACGAAAAUGAAGCACGGAAGAGAAAAAUGAUAAAGAAGAAAGCCAGCUGUGCUUAAAGUAGGUGGUAAGACAGCCCUUUGAUUUUUCAUAGAGCCAAUAGCUAAGCAAUGGGGUGACAGAGAACACGUCCCCCAUUUUCCAUGCGAAAUUCAAACUCAACCGUUGGCAGUUGCCAUCUAUUUCGCGACAGCCGCUUCGAAAAGCGGGUCCUUUCCUUACCACGACGACGAUUGGUUUUCUGCAGCGCCCUUUCUCGCCACCGCAGAACACUGCACUAUAACACUCAGCCGAGUAACGCUUCCGGCAACGAGCAACGGCAAUGUUUAUCGUACACAGACUGUUACUAUUCCGCCCACCAACAAGAAAGUGUCGGGAAUAUUGAUGCAGCUCUCUACUGGUGCUCUGUUUCUCUAAGAAAUCUUUAAUCCCGCUGACCCCAGUCCAAUUUCUUUGGCGCCGCCGUCGCAAUAAGUUAUGCUAGCGUAAUGUAAGGGUAGUGUUGGGCCUUCGGUCGUUUAUUAUGCCACUGCGGUAUUCACAGUUACAUCGGGCUUGACCGAGGCUAUUUGUAGGCAUUUGGCCACUUGCCGAAUAUCGAUUAAUCUGCACCGCCCCUUUUGGCCGAUCCAAAAGAGCGUGUUGAUAGUCAGAGGAAAAGAAAUCAGCCGUACAGAGGGCAGAACUGCAUGCUGGCUUUACCCAGCGUUGACAAAGUACUAUUUGCAAAGCUUCUCCGUAUAUCGAGCCUGUAUAUAGAGGCAGCAUAUUAUUAAUCUGAUAUAUGUUCACGCGUAUCGAUUUCAGGAUCAUUAUACUCAGCGGCUUAGUACUACUCGAUGCCUUUCUUAGCCGGUAACAACUGACCCAAAAGCUAUAACUUCAGCGGCCUGAACUGGUCUAUUAUUCCGAUGUUGCUGGUCAUUAUUCCGGCCAGCAACAUCGGAGUUAUGUCAGAGGGUACGGCUAGAUUCUCACGAAAUGAUUUGUGGUGGCUUACGACCGGCACCCCGUCGUGCAUAUCUAAGCGAAAGCCUCUCGCACAGGUUACGAUACGUAACUAACUUCAUUAUUGAAAUCAGGCCCGGUCGUAGUUCCUACUUCAAAGGUCGCCACCGCAAGUUGCCAUUGAAACAAUUCAUUCAUAAUCUGCCUCAGUCUAUUCACAGCCAGUGGUCGAAUAUGAAGACGCUCGCCAGACGGGUGGUGCAGCUCGCUGCUCAAUGGAAGUAGCCGUUAAAAACGAUUAUUUUACCCUCCCAUAGAAUAUACGGUAAGUAUCCAGCUCUCGUAAACAACGUUAUCAUAUCACUAUCUAUUUGCCGACAGAAUAAUUUUGCAUCAGUUGACUUAGAGACAAAACUGAAUCAGUUUACAAGAUCAGGCUGUAUUUUGCUGAGCCUGUGAAAUAGGCUAAUUUGUAGCUCAGUAAACUAGUAGCAUAAGCAUUACGUACGUAAUAUAGAGGUGCACGUUUUUCUUACGGUUAACGCGGCCCAGAAUUGCUUGAAGUGGCUGAGAGCGAUUAUCUCGCCGGACAUUUCGCCCGAAUUUCUCGCCGUUAUCGGACGGGAAAGAUCUAAUUUCUGCCAAAAUGCAUUGUAAUAAUAUUCGAACUAUUUGCAUCAAGCACAUUUUUCUUCGUAGAAACCGAUCGACGAAGGAAAAAUAUGCUAGAUUUACAGGACCGAGGAGUUCAGAGCGUUGCCUUUUCUGAGUUUGUUACAAGACUAUGUUAGGACGCGAUAUCAGGAACGCUUUUAGUGCCUUGAGCGAUCGAUACAAAACACUACAACGAAAUACACUUUGUUGUGGUAUUCGUAACGAAUGUCUCGAUAGUCAGUGGGGUCAAACAUACUCCCCUCAAUAAUCGUUUUGCAAUAUGUACACUGUAUAUUCUUGUGGCUGCUCCCUUUCGAAAAGCAUCCAAGUGUGAAGCGUAAUGCACCUGGCUUUCACUGAGACUUCGCGUGCGUUCCGCUCUGUUCUGCUAUUUCCGAGGGGUCUUCGUAGCGAUCAGUGUCCGUAAGGUAUCGUCUCGCUGCCUUGCCAUAACGCACGCAGGCCAACUCCCCAACUAUUGGUUCGGUCUCUUUUUCACUUUCAACAUAGAAUGGUGGUGCAUCCUUUGUGGCAAGUUUCUUCGCUAAUGGGACUUUUGCCCCGAUGCUGCCCCCUUGUCAUUUUGCUUUCUUCUAUUAUUAUUAUCACUGCUACUAUUGCCUCUCUUCGCAUAUGUUCCUGCCAUCCUUCUUUCUGCUGUUGGAUCCGUUUUUUACAGUUCCUUCACAUUGUGCAUUGGGCAGUUGCUCGAUCUCCAUUACUGGCAGGCGAGUGGAACGGAAGCCCGACAGCAGAGUAAACGCUUUGUCACCACCAUGAUCGUCGCGUACUCACCAUUAGUACGGAAAUACCCACCUAUAGUCGCCAUUUUAAAAAGCUGCUCUCGUGCCAGGGCGACAGCAUAAAGAUAACGAUGCCACAACGCCGUGGUAUACGACCACCCCAUCACUACCUCAUGCCAUCACUAAAACCAUCAUGUAUGGCUACUGCGAUUGCGGCCACUGGCCCCAUAUCCAUUCACUGCGCUUCUCCCUUAUUCUGCUUUAACAAGGUCGGGAUAAAAAAAAGACAGCCAAGGAAUAAAGAUAUUGUGGAACGACACAUAUGCGGAACAAAACGCGCUGCAGAUGAUGGCACCACUGGCGCAGUCGUUACGAUCUGCCUUCACUAUUCCUACCUGUGGAUAGCGUAAAGGCCAAAGACAAUUCUCUUUUGCACCGUAGUGCUGCGUAUCAUCAAUCAUAGUCUUCACCGGAUGUGUUCAUACUACUGGAGUCGUAACAGCCUUAAGUCAACGAUGAACCAAAAAAAAACGAGGUCUUCAAUAUCGCACAGAUGGACUUCUUCUCGAGCUAAAAUAUAAGUUCAUUGUUUACAAAUCCUUUCUUGAUGAGACUGAACUACAGUUUGCAUUUAAAUGCCAGGUAAUUUGGUAGACUUAACGUUCAGAGCUGGUUAGUCAAAUUCCUAUGCAACCUAUUGGUCUACUGUGUAGGGAUGAUACGUGGAAAUAAUAUAGGAAACGCAAUAUAACAAGAUCUAGAAAAUUAGAAGACAUGAUGAGAACCCUAAGCACAGCUUUGAUACGCAGCUUCGUGACGAUAACUUGUUGAAAGUCUGGAUUUCUCUAGCCGAGGAUGCUCUUUGAAGAGUUUGGCUAGUUCUUAUAAUGAAAGCCUCAUUCGGUAAGAUAUCCGAUAAAGUAAUACUGGAGCAAAGAAGAAUUGCUUUAGGAUGAAGAUUCAUGUACACUGUGACUGCAGCGACGAACAUAUAAUUAUCAUCGAUUGCACUGCGUCUUUUAUUAAGAAUCCUGUUCGGCUUUUUUCAAUUAUGGCGGAAUACAUGCGGAUCUAUUCUACUUUAGCAAACCCUCUCUUUCGAAGAUGAUCUAGACUAAUACUUUUUCAUUUUGAUGCAUACAUUACCUAUAUCUUCCGCAGUUGCGACGCUAAAGCUUGCUAGUCCGAUACAUUUUACAAAUACCCUCAGAUCAUCUGAAGAUCCAAAGCUACACGUAAGAAAUGAGCCUAUUUUACGAUAGUCUAUACAGUUAAUUAGGCCUAACAGAUCGCCACAAGCGAGUCGUCCAUGAAAGCACUAUCGCAUUGUUUAGAUAAGCUUCACUUACUCGAUUAAGACAUAUUAGCACAUACAUUGCUGGUAGCACUGUAGAACUCACCAUAAAAAAACAUGAACGUAUCUACCCUGCAGAAGUACGGGUGAGGUGAUUUAAGAUCUCAAAUCAUUUGAAAACAUCGCUGAACCUCAAUUGAGCGGUUAAGGUACGAUCUAAAACUUGUCAGUCCGAUGACUUACCUACUAAUAUAUCGACAAAAAUAAUAAGCAUUUAAAUCGUAGGUAUCAUAGGUAUUUACCUGCAUGAUUACGGCUGUCACCAGUUUACCAUAGUGAGCCGUCCAUCGCCAAACGUAAGUAAUAAUAAUAAUAAUAAUAAUGUGUAUUUCGACAUGUUAACAUGAGCUCUUGUUAAAAGCCUGAUAACUACAGCAGCCGGAUAGCUACAUAUGACAAUAUGAUGUCGGAUAUCACAUUUUAUUCCCUCCUAUGCCACUUUCUGUAUUGAGAACAACACAAACGGAGUGCAAUCAAUUGUUCUAUGGUAGAAUAAUAUAUACAUAUAUAUAUAUAUAUAUAUAUCGGGGUUAAUUAGUGAAGGAAACUGGGUCGAAGCAGAAAGGGCAGGUGCCAUUUUUGAAAAAAGUUUCGUCUUAAUAGGUACCCAUAACGUAUAUUUAAAGAAAUGGGAAAAUCAGAAAAUUUAUUGCGGAGCUGCGCAUCCUAUUUACUGUUGUGUUUCAUAUUUUUAUUUGCGCGAAAUCUUGACAUAGAUCUAAAUCUAUUCUCAACAACCGUUCUGUAUAAGCGAAACAGUUGCUAUCGUGACGCCGACUACCUUAUUAUCGUCCACCGCUAAAUCAUCGUUUGACAAGGUUGCUCGUUAGGCCACGCAUGAUGUAGGGACGGCAAGGGAGAAAUAAACCACUAUAUGCUUAGGUCUCGUCGUUAAUAAUUAGAUGUAGGAGUACGCAGACUCCGUACCGCCAUCAUCAAUAAAAGCCCAACUGUAAGAAGAUGGAACCAGAAACAUGUAUUAAUUGCAAUACAGGGAAGCUGUAAAGGUGCCAUUGGAUGUAGACAUUUUGUGGUGCGCCCAGUGGGUAAUAGCCGUCGAUUCCUGCUGAUGGGGUCGCACAGCGGGAGUCUAAAUUGGACAUACAUACCAUGUUCUUCCGACUUACAACGGUCUUUCCAAGAAGAAGGGCUUAGCGCCCCAGAACCGCUGAUCUCAUCCCGUCACAUUGACUAUUUGGUAAAGCUCAACGUUUUAAUAUGGUACAUGCGCGGUCCAUCUGCAGCUACGCUCGAAUAAGCUCACUUACUUCGGUCGGUCGGUAAGCUUUACCACAUCAUACAACAGCGAGCGGAAUCAGGAGGGCUAAACAGAAGCGUCCCUGUUUGGUUGAGCUUUUCUACUACGUUGGUAUCGACGUUCUGGACCUUUGAAGCACCUAAAAGGAUCCCCUGCCUUCAAGCAUGAUAACACCAUCCAGCACUUCUGCCAGCUGGCGCCGUUACCUCAUCUCUGACCUGCUGUUCGAGUACUUACAUUUUAUGCAUUAUAAUUUGUAAUGGAAGGAUGAGAUUAAAUCCGUCGGCCAUUGGAUUAUGUUGUGUGAUUACUCUUCUAUAAAAUCGCACCGUUACCGGUAGAGCAGACGAACACGCCUUUGAUGAAUGGGUGGCUAUAGCUGAGUCAAGUAUCCCGAAGAAUAUCCUGAUCCCGAAGAAUUCAAGCCCAUAUUGCAACAAAAAUAUGACUUGGUGCCGUUUUAAAGUACGAAAUUAGCGUAACCGGGAUCUAAAAGACGCUGCCUGGCACUGGCCCACCACUUGAGUUUGAUGGUGACCAUCAAGCCGUUUAAAUGGCCGUUUAAAGAAGGAAGACCGUCAAGCAACUCGGGAUUUGGCCAAAAAGAUGAACUACAGCCAUACUGCAGUCGUUAACCGCCGCAAGUCUCAAAUUGGAGUGUACAUCGAAGGUUGGAGUUUGGGUAUUUUAUGGAUUGUUUGGAUCUGACAUGAAAUUAUAGCUUAACGUUGCACCUUAGUAUUUCGUCUGGUAUCCAGUCUCACGCAGCUACGAUCACCGAUUUUGCAUAAAUUUGUCACCGGCGAUAAGAAAUGGUGCUUUUGGAUCAACAUGAGCCAGAAAUAGGCAUGAGCAGCGCUAGGAGAAAAGCUAAAGCCGAGGGUACAACCAAAUCUUUAUCCGAAAAGCGUUUGGUGAAACUGUAAGGGCAUGAUUUCGGCCCACAGCCGAUUGGCACUCUUAUUUGGCCUAGUUGCAUCGGAUCAGCUAUGGUAUUUAAGAAAGAAGUGAGCCAAACGACUUCAGUCCAUCCUACUUUAUAACAUCACAAAGCCACAGACGGUAAACAUCGUGAAAGCUGCCCUCCUGGACUUCGGGUGAAAGAUUUUGUUGCCGUUCUGCAUAUUCUACGACUCUUGUGCCGAUUCAUUUUUACCUCUUCCAUUUACUGAGUGUGGCCAUGUUUGCGAUACGGUUUAAAAGUUUAAAAUGUGAAUGGAAAACUUCUGCGAGAUGAAACUCUUCUGGUGAGAUGGCCUAUAUCGUCUAAGGAAAAGAUCAGAAAGAGUCGUAAACAAUAAUUACGGAACUAAAAUACAUAACAUAGCAACUUAUUGUCACAAAGAUAAAACAUGCGAUGUCUUCUAUUCAUGAGUCUUCCAACUUAAUGCAAUUUAAUUAGGAUGGAUUAUGAUGAUUGUGUACACUCCUAGCGUUAGCAUAGUAAGGCACCUUCAGCCUUGGCCUAUGACGUCGUUGGGAUUUUAGAGCUGCCAUUAUUUGGGGCAAUAAUUCGUGUAGAAGUAGUAAUCAUAGCUACAUGAUAUCUGUAAUGUGUGUUUGAAGUCAUGC